GCGUUUGAUGCGAUAAGCAUCAGUGGCGACGGAGCACCGCGCGGGGAAUGACGGCGUCCGCAGCGGAGGGUGGCCUCUUCCCGGCGUCGCUGCUGGCGCCUUCUCUCAUCCAUCCAUAUGCCGCUGCGAGUGGCGGCCAGCCGAUAAGAGCCGGCGUCGUCUGCUUCUCGUGCGGGACACGAACAGACGGCACCAGCAAACGUGGCCAGGUCCCAGUGGGUAGCACAAGCGGGCGACAAAAUUGGCGGUGCAGCAGACGCCAGACUGCUGCCUCCUCGCCGACGUAUCGCCCCGAGGCUUGAGAAGCUUGUUCGAAACGGACAAAGGACCAGACCAGCGCUGGAUCAUAACUGGAAAGGAGGAUGAUGGCGUUUUGGGCAAAUUCUGUGUGUCUCCGUUUUCUUCCUCUCCGACAAAGCCGCGUAGGAGCUGCCGGAGGCACGGCCACCUUCCCUCCCAUUCUCCCUGAUCGCCUGCUGAACCUUGUUGAGAACGCUUAUCGGACGCGGUCCCCGCGGUCUGCGACACACCGACGCCCUCAUACUUUGCCCGCGCGUGCGUGGUAGGGGCCCGCGCAGCCCUGACUGAGGAAAAAAAAAGCUUUUAGUCGAACCCACGGGCCAGGGUGGUGAUACGGACGACCCCCAAGGCCUUGUCUGGGCUGAUUGUUUUCGUCGGAAAGCAAGAGACGGCAAGAAAGAUAGAAAAGGAAGUCGCCUCGCGUCUGCGGACCCCCAUAUGCCUCCCAGAAAUGGGUGGCCCGAACCUUUUAGGCCGAUUUUUUAAAGAAACACCGGGACGGGAUGCACACCGCUGUAAAGAUUACGAAGCGGGGUCGCGCUAAAUGGCUCCAGCAGGUGAUGACCGUCCGGCCUUCGUCAGGGUCUGCGCUCGUCUCGAACAUUCCGCUUUGCCCCCCUUCCCCCGAUUCUUCUUAAUUUCUACAACACGUGUGAGAGUGCUCGUGCUGAAGUUGCUGCUGCAGAAAAUACACUGGUACGGGGGAAUGUCUGAUUGUGGUGGCACUAUCUUAAAAGCACCGCGAAAUUGGUCUGGCCGGCCUUCGGA
rnacentral:lncRNA from 1 species